UACAGGGGGGGCAAGUAUUAUUCUACAUGACUGGGCGUAAAGGAUAUGUAGGCGGUUUUUCUAAUAUAAGAGUAAAAACCAUAUAAAAGUUAUGGUAUUUUUUAUAUAUUGUAAAACUUUGAGUUUAUUGAAGAUAUGAGAACCUACUAGAGUAACAGUGAAAUGUAUUAAAACUAAAGGGAAUUCCAAAAGGCGAAAGCAAUUAUCUUAUUAAAACUGACGCUAAAAUAUGAAGGUGUGGGGAGCAAACAGG
rnacentral:rRNA from 1 species